AUGAGUAACUUUGAUUUGUUUUUUACUGCAACCUGUUUUAAUUGCAUAUUUUACUCUAAAAUCAUUAUCUUUAUAAAAUCUUUUCUUAAUUAAAGAAAAGAUUUUACAAAGAGCCAGAGGGAAAAAUAUUUUCUAUGGUUGUGCGCUUUUGAUGAUUAGAGUGUUUUUGGUGGUUGUAGUAAUCAAUUGGAUGGAUUUUUUGUGCGGUUGAUUCUCUUGAAUAAUACGCAUAGUCUUGUAAAUAAAUAUCACGUCUUUUGUCUCAACUAUUUUUACUAUUGUAAGUAGAAUCACUAAAUCUUAGUUGUCAAACUCGAUAGUCGACAGCUGUACUUGUCAAACUUGAUGGUCGACAGCUGUACUUUUUUCCAAUAUUGCAACUUGACAUUUUAUAACUUUUGAUUGUUUUUGAUGUUCAUGAUUGAAAUUAGUUUUAAUGCUGUUAUGAGAAAAAAGAUUUUUGGUAAGAGUUUUGUUUUAUUGAACAAUCUAAAGUUAAAAUGACCUUAACGACUAUUAGAAGGAAGAUCAAUGCACUUACAGCGCCAUUUUUUGAAUAUCGAUGCACUUACAGCACCAUUUUUUGAAGAUCAAUGCACUUACAGCGCCAUUUUGAAGAUAUAUUUAUACUUGUAGAUGUAAUACGUUAAGAAAACUAAUAAUAAAGUAUUAAAGCAA